rnacentral:lncRNA from 1 species
UCGGGCAUACUGAAUCUUUCAUAGUCUUCGUCUGUGCAGUGGAUGUCAUAAGUACUCUCUCAUCAACCCCUGAUAUCGCUAGUACACCAAACUCAUCACAUAAUCUCUGAAUCAAGCAAAGUAAUGGAAAAUUUAUGGCCUCCCCAAAAGCUCUAUCAUGAAUCUCAUGCCAAAGGAUGGCUGCAAAGUCAAUAGCAUACCAGGAAUCAUAAUAGCGAUCAAAGCGG